AACGCGAAGAACCUUACCGGGGCUUGACAUCCUGCGACAUCCUAAGAGAUUAGGUUUCCGGGCAACCGGACGCAGAGACAGGUGCUGCAUGGCUGUCGUCAGCUCGUGCCGUGAGGUGUUGGGUUAAGUCCCGCAACGAGCGCAACCCUUGUCGUGUGUUGGUCAGCAAUGAUCUCUCACGCGAGACCGCCGGUGACAAGCCGGAGGAAGGUGGGGAUGACGUCAAGUCAGCAUGGCCCUUACGUCCCGGGCUACACACGUGCUACAAUGGGAAGGACAGCGAGUCGCAAACCCGCGAGGGUAAGCCAAUCUCUUAAACCUUUCCUCAGUUCGGAUUGAAGGCUGCAACUCGCCUUCAUGAAGUCGGAAUCGCUAGUAAACGCAGAUCAGCUACGCUGCGUUGAAUACGUUCCCGGGCCUUGUACACACCGGACACGC
rnacentral:rRNA from 1 species